rnacentral:lncRNA from 1 species
UCACAAAUAUAUCAGUAGAGUUCACCAAAUCUUAACUAGGAAAAAGAAAAUAAAUCAACCACUCAUGGUGGACUUUUUAACACAAAUGAGUUCUUAGAGAGUAAAGAAAAGAAGAAAGAUGAAGAAGAAAAAAAUUGAAGAAGUAGCAAAAGUUGUUGUGUGCGGCAUAGGGAAGAAGAGAGAUGAUCCUUCGACUUUGGUGGUUGCCUAUUUUAUAACUGUUGGGACUCAAAGGUUU